GAUGAACGCUAGCUACAGGCUUAACACAUGCAAGUCGAGGGGAAACGACAUCGAAAGCUUGCUUUUGAUGGGCGUCGACCGGCGCACGGGUGAGUAACGCGUAUCCAACCUGCCCAUCACUUGGGAAUAACCUUGCGAAAGUAAGACUAAUACCCAAUGACAUCCCACGAAGACAUCUGAAUGGGAUUAAAGAUUUAUCGGUGAUGGAUGGGGAUGCGUCUGAUUAGCUUGUUGGCGGGGUAACGGCCCACCAAGGCAACGAUCAGUAGGGGUUCUGAGAGGAAGGUCCCCCACAUUGGAACUGAGGCACGGUCCAAACUCCUACGGGAGGCAGCAGUGAGGAAUAUUGGUCAAUGGGCGAGAGCCUGAACCAGCCAAGUAGCGUGCAGGAUGACGGCCCUAUGGGUUGUAAACUGCUUUUAUAAGGGAAUAAAGUGGGUCUCGUGAGACUUUUUGCAUGUACCUUAUGAAUAAGGACCGGCUAAUUCCGUG
rnacentral:rRNA from 1 species